rnacentral:rRNA from 1 species
UCAAGAAACUUCCACAAUGGGCGAAAGCCUGAUGGAGCGACGUCGCGUGAUGGACGAAGUGCUUCGGCAUGUAAACAUCUUUUUAUGUGGGAUGAAAUUAUUGACAGUACCACAUGAAUAAGGGGCUCCUAACUCUGUGCCAGCAGGAGCGGUAAUACAGAGGCCCCAAGCGUUAUCCGGAAUCACUGGGCGUAAAGGGUGUCGAGGCGGUUGUAUUAGUCGUUCGUAAAAUCUACGAGCUUAACUUGUAGGCGGCGAACGAAACGGUACGACUUGAGGUUUGGAGAGGUGCGUGGAACUCACGGUGUAGGGGUGAAAUCCGUUGAUAUCGUGGGGAACACCAAAGGCGAAGGCAGCGCACUGGCCAAAAUCUGACGCUCACACACGAAAGCUAGGGUAGCGAAGAGGAUUAGAUACCCGAGUAGUCCCUGAGCGGGCUGGCAAGGCGCAU